UGGGUAACCUGCCUCAAAGAGGGGAAUAGCCUCCCGAAAGGGAGAUUAAUACCGCAUAAUAUGUUUAAGUCGCAUGACUUUAACAUCAAAGGAUUUUCUUUAGAAAUUCCACUUUGAGAUGGACCCGCGGCGCAUUAGCUAGUUGGUGAGGUAACGGCUCACCAAGGCAACGAUGCGUAGCCGACCUGAGAGG
rnacentral:rRNA from 1 species